rnacentral:lncRNA from 1 species
CUGCUUUGUAGGCCUCUGGGUCCCCGUGAGUCCUGCAGUGGGCAGUGUGGCCAUCCCUGCUUCCUCAGGGGUCUUCCUCUCCCAGAGGCUCUCGUGUUGAAGACUUGGUCCUCAAUGCAGCAAUGUCCAGAGGGGGGGCUUUGGGAAGCAGUUGGAUGGUGGGUGUUGGGGGCUCUGAGCUUGUUUGUGGAUUAAUCCACUGAGGGAUUCAUAGCUGAAUGGAUUCCUGGGAGGUGGUAGAAAUGGCAGGAGGUGGAGCCUAGCUGGAGCAGUGGGUCCUUGAGGAUGUACCCUGGGACUAGAUUCCCCUGGCCCCUGCUUCUUUCUCUCUCUCUCUGCGUCCCACCAUGAGGUGAGCUGCUUGGUUUUCCAUGCCCUUCCACCAAGAUGUUCUGUCCCCAAUGCAGCCAGCUGGCCAUGGACUGAAUUCUCUGAAACCAUGAGCCAAAAUAAGCCUUUCUUUCCCUAAGCUGACUUUCUCAGGUGUUUUGUCAUAGCGACAGAAAAGCUGACUAACACAUGGGGCAUUCUGGGCCUGGCUGUCUGCACCUUUCCGACAGCUUUGCUGGAGAGUCUGAAUGAUGAGAAUGGACCAUGAAGGGAGUUUCCUCUUCUGUUCUCAUGUCCUGCUGUCCUCUUCGUGAGUUCUUCCUGGAGCCACCUUGUAUACCUGGCACUGUGUCAUGUUCUCACCCACCCCCACAUCUCUCACCUGAGAUGCUGAUCUGGCUUGUCAUCUCUGCUGGACUCUCUGGGAUGACCAGAUGACCACUUUGGAUCUUGGCCAUCUUGGCCUCCCUUUGUCAUCCUGAGCAGAGCCUUUACCUACUACUUAUUUGGGGUCCUCCUCCUGGGAUUUAUUUCAUUGAGUCCUGAUAUGGUUUGGAUGUGAGGUGUCCCCCAAAAGCUCACGUGUGAGACAAUGCAAGAAGAUUCAGAGA